GCGGGUGUAGCUCAAUGGCAGAGUCCUGGCUUCCCAAGCCAGUCGCGUGGGUUCGAUUCCCAUCACCCGCUCCA
rnacentral:tRNA from 1 species